ACCAGAUCAGGAAAGAAAAAGGGGAAAACUCCCCAAAGCCUAAAAUUCACAAAUUCCUUCAAAUUGAAGGAGAAAUCGAGCCCCAAGCUAGUGUACAAACUGAAAUAGCGAAUCCUCUAAGCUAGAGUAACAUAAGCCAGGUUGUUCACCAUAGGCGACUCGAGCAAGAAGGCGGGUGAUAAAGCUGGGAGCGAUACGCGACUUAAAGGGAAGAUCUAAGGUAUACUUUGGAGCUUAAAAUGGAGAAAAUGUUGCUUUGGAUGGAUUGGAAUGGAACGGGUCAAGCAUGGAAGGAAAGAGGAAACAAAACACAAGAUUCAGGGGUCCACCAUAACUUACGGUGGCUACCGUAAGUUACAGUAGCCCUGAAAUCCAUAUUCUUCCACCGUAGCUCAGUAGGGAUCCACCGUAGCAUUCUGAAGGCUACCGUAACUUACUAUAGCUACCGUAAGUUACGGUAGAAAUGACGGACAAAAGUGUAACUGCCUCCAUUAAACCGUUUUUCAUGUGCCUUUUCACAUUAUCUCAUCAUUGAACGUUUUCUCUGCAUAUUGUGGGCGAUUUUGGCUAGUUCUUCUUGGUUCCAAACAUUUCUAAACAAUUGGUUUGUGUUUUAGAUUCGUAUUGAACAUUAAUCGUUGUGCGAUGAUGAUGUACCAAGUCAUGAGUGGCUAAACUUGUGGGGAUCAUCCUAGAUGUAAGGUUUGCUUUUGAAACACUAUGUUUGUGCUUGAAUUUCUAGAAUAAUAACUUUGAAUGUUUGUUUGAGUUAUUAUGGUGUUUGAA